rnacentral:rRNA from 1 species
CCAGCACCCGCGGUAAUUCCAGCUCCAAUAGCGUAUAUUAAAGUUGUUGCAGUUAAAAAGCUCGUAGUUGGAUUAGUGGCCUGUCCUGUUGGUGGUGUUGCUUUUGCUUCACUUUUCUUGAUGGGAUGGCCAUGUUUUGGGUGGAUCCUGUGUGGCAUUAGGUUGUCGUGCAGGGGAUGCCCAUCGUUUACUGUGAAAAAAUUAGAGUGUUCAAAGCAGGCUUAUGCCGUUGAAUAUAUUAGCAUGGAAUAAUGAUAUAGGACCUUGGUACUAUUUUGUUGGUUUGCGCACUGAGGUAAUGAUUAAUAGGGACAGUUGGGGGUAUUCGUAUUCCAUUGUCAGAGGUGAAAUUCUUGGAUUUUUGGAAGACGAACUACUGCGAAAGCAUUUACCAAGGAUGUUUUCA